UACGUAGGGACCAAGCGUUGUUCGGAUUUACUGGGCGUAAAGGGCGCGUAGGCGGCUUAACAAGUCACUUGUGAAAUCUCCGGGCUUAACUCGGAACGGCCAAGUGAAACUGUCAAGCUAGAGUGCAGAAGGGGCAAUCGGAAUUCUUGGUGUAGCGGUGAAAUGCGUAGAUAGUCAAGAGGAACACCUGAGGUGAAGACGGGUUGCUGGGCUGACACUGACGCUGAGGCGACGAAAGCCAGGGGAGCAAACGGG
rnacentral:rRNA from 1 species